rnacentral:rRNA from 1 species
AGUGAACGCUGGCGGUAGGCCUAACACAUGCAAGUCGAACGGCAGCACAGUAAGAGCUUGCUCUUACGGGUGGCGAGUGGCGGACGGGUGAGGAAUACAUCGGAAUCUACUUUUUCGUGGGGGAUAACGUAGGGAAACUUACGCUAGUACCGCAUACGACCUACGGGUGAAAGCAGGGGAUCUUCGGACCUUGCGCGAUUGAAUGAGCCGAUGUCGGAUUAGCUGGUUGGCGGGGUAAAGGCCCACCAAGGCGACGAUCCGUAGCUGGUCUGAGAGGAUGAUCAGCCAGACUGGAACUGAGACACGGUCCAGACUCCUACGGGAGGCAGCAGUGGGGAAUAUUGGACAAUGGGCGCAAGCCUGAUCAAGCCAUACCGCGUGGGUGAAGAAGGCCUUCGGGUUGUAAAGCCCCUUUGUUGGGAAAGAAAAGCAGCAGGUUAAUACCCCGCUGUUCUGACGGUACCCAAAGAAUAAGCACCGGCUAACUUCGUG